AACGAAUGCUAAUACCCAUAUGCUUUGAGUGAAAUGGAUUUUAUCCGCCUAGAGAGAAGCUCGCGGCUGAUUAGCUUGUUGGUAAGGUAAGAGCUUACCAAGGCGACGAUCAGUAUCUGGUUUGAGAGGACGAUCAGACACACUGGAACUGAGACACGGUCCAGACUCCUACGGGAGGCAGCAGUGGGGAAUUUUCCGCAAUGGGCGAAAGCCUGACGGAGCAAUACCGCGUGAGGGAAGAAUGCCUAUGGGUUGUAAACCUCUUUUUUCAGGGAGGAAUAAAAUGACGUGUACCUGAAGAAUAAGCAUCGGCUAACUCCGUG
rnacentral:rRNA from 1 species